GGGCAAUUAGCUCAGCGGGAGAGCGCUGCUUUCACAAGGCAGAGGUCGCUGGUUCAACCCCAGCAUUGCCCA
rnacentral:tRNA from 2 species